rnacentral:rRNA from 1 species
UACGUAGGGUGCGAGCGUUAAUCGGAUUUACUGGGCGUAAAGCGUGCGCAGGCGGCCCGUUAAGACAGGUGUGAAAUCCCUGGGCUCAACCUAGGAAUUGCGCUUGUGACUGGCGGCCUCGAGUACGGUAGAGGGGGGUGGAAUUCCCGGUGUAGCAGUGAAAUGCGUAGAGAUCAGGAGGAACACCGAUGGCGAAGGCAGCCCCCUGGGCCUGUACUGACGCUCAUGCACGAAAGCGUGGGGAGCAAACAGG